rnacentral:rRNA from 1 species
CAGCAGCCGCGGGAAAACGUAGGGUGCAAGCGUUAAUCGGAAUUACUGGGCGUAAAGCGUGCGCAGGCGGUUUGUUAAGACAGAUGUGAAAUCCCCGGGCUCAACCUGGGAACUGCAUUUGUGACUGGCAGGCUAGAGUAUGGCAGAGGGGGGUGGAAUUCCGCGUGUAGCAGUGAAAUGCGUAGAUAUGCGGAGGAACACCGAUGGCGAAGGCAGCCCCCUGGGCCAAUACUGAUGCUCAUGCACGAAAGCGUGGGGAGCAAACAGGAUUAGAUACCCCGGUAGUCCCUGUCUCUUAUAC